rnacentral:rRNA from 1 species
UAAUUGAAGAGUUUGAUCAUGGCUCAGAUUGAACGCUGGCGGCAGGCCUAACACAUGCAAGUCGAGCGGAAACGAAGAGGUGCUUGCACCUCUGGCGUCGAGCGGCGGACGGGUGA